UGAGGAUAGAGCUCUUCAGGGGGCAUGCAUGCAUGACUGGGAAGUAGUGAUGUGUAGGGCAGCUGGGCUCCACAUACCAAGAAGAGGUACCAGCACAGGAGUGGAAAAUGCCUGAAAGACCAAAUAUAGAGUCCGUGUCUGGAACUGCUCAGACCCAGUAAGCUUAAAAAGGCUGGGUCCCAUGUAGCAUCCUGGUAACCAUCGAAAUAGGGAAGCUCAGCCAGGGAUGUAUACAAUUUUCAGUCCACAUGGAGUAUUGCAUGUAUCAGGCAGCGGAAGCCUUCAGAGUACAUGCAGUUUGAAUGGAGCAGUCAGCCUAAGGCCUGGAGGAGAGUGAGCCAGACCCCUGGGAUGGGAUCAUCAAAGGUAGAGUGCCAGUUGUAUGUAUAUAUUCAAGUUCCAUCUUCAGCACCUGUUUAAAUCUUUGAUAAGCACCAAUGAGCAGAUCUUUAUAUCAACUCUGAUAUUUAUUUAUCAUCUGUCCCAAAGGAAACAAUUACUACUGUAAGUGGGAACAACUGAAAGUAAAAUAGUUAAAACUUUGGGAAAAGUGCAAUAGCUCAGAAAAAUAAGACUCUUGUAGCUUUGCCCUGUGUAGAGGACACUUUCUUAGUUGAAACUGGGCCUCAAAGCAGAUUUUGUAAAAGCAGGUUUUAUAAAACCUGAGGUGGGUUGAAGUUACAGUGGAAACAGCUGUUUUUAAACCGUCAUUCUCCUGAAGUGUUUCCAACUGAAACAUUGCAGCACAGAGAGCCUGCAAGUAAAGCAGAGUGAGUUCAUUGAUUUCCUUAGAUCAGUCUGAGAGGCAAACAAACAUAAUAAAUAAUGAGCAGUAAAAUCAAUUUUUAUUUUUCCUAUUCUUAGUAUAUGGGAGGGUUUUGUUAGUGCCAUAGGUAAAGAAUGUGUUUGUUUCUAAUCGGUGACUGUGUUGACACUGCAACUAACGUUAUUACUUUUCACAGUUUACAACACUUUAAGGCUAUGUAAUUUUUAUAGGACAUGGUUUCCCAUUAAUGGAGUUUGAACAGGGAAUGGAGCAUUUUUAUUUACAAUUCUUAAAUGAUGGUUAAUAACACAAGUGUUGUGCUGCUGUGUCGGGUUUUUUUUUAAAGCUACAUGCUCUUUUUCUGUCAAAUUCCAUCACCUCUGGUUAAAAAGGCAGCAUCAGAACCAUCUGUGAUGGGGUAUUCAUCCCACACAAACCCUGAAAGGAUUAAAGAAGCUCAGAAAGGGCCAGUUAGUGUGCUUGGCCCCACAUGAGGGAAUAGGCUGAAGGCACAACCUCUGACUGGAAGAUGAAGCUCACUUGAACAGGUAUGGGCUGGGCUAGUGUAAAGCCAGGAAGCUGGCAACGGAAAUGGUGGCAGUGAGGAAAUACACCUUCUAUGUAUUAGAGAGGGAAGGAGGUAACCUAGGAAAAGAGUAGGACCCUAGGAGCCUGGCCUGAGGAAAGGGCAUACACCGAAGGGGAAACCACAUAGUAACCUGGCCAGAAGGCCAAGUCACGAAGAGGAAGCUGCACCUCCUGGAGUGAAAAAGAGAACAGAUGUCGAGACCACACGGGAAGGCAUUGGUCCUGGAAGAGAGCUAAUCCCCCUGAGCAGCCAGGAGGAGGCACCACUUGUGAUAUCCUAUACUAGUUUCUAGUUUGGGAAUACACAGGAAAAGUUACUCUUGCAGUUAUCUUGAUAGUAUUUCUGCUCGUUGCCAAAAGCAGAAGCAGAGAAGCAUGCAAAGUGAGGAAGAACUUUCAUCAAAAAGUUUCCAACCAGAUCUGUUUAACAACCUAACAGAUACUAGGGGUGCAAAGUCUGAAGGUAAUUUCCAAAGGGGACAAAGCUGUUUUCUACCACAUGUUAUGUAGCAUUCUGUAGACAUCCGGGUGGGGGCUCGUCCCUUGCAGGGGCGAGUGGGAGCCAGGCCGCCUCACUCCACGGGGCUGGGGAACAGAUCAGUCUCGCAGGUCCAAGCCCUAAGUCGGGGCGGGGUCGCGAGCAAUCAGUAGUCCCAGGCUUAGGCCCUCAGGCAGGAGCUGAG